rnacentral:rRNA from 1 species
UGGGGGAUAUUGCACAAUGGGCGAAAGCCUGAUGCAGCGACGCCGCGUGGGGGAUGAAGGCUUUCGGGUUGUAAACCUCUUUCGCUAUCGAACAAGGCCCGCUUAGGGUGGGUUGAGGGCAGGUGGAGAAGAAGCGCCGGCUAACUACGUGCCAGCAGCCGCGGUAAUACGUAGGGCGCGAGCGUUGUCCGGAAUUAUUGGGCGUAAAGGGCUUGUAGGCGGCUUGUUGCGCCUGCUGUGAAAACGCGGGGCUUAACUUCGCGCGUGCAGUGGGUACGGGCAGGCUUGAGUGUGGUAGGGGUGACUGGAAUUCCAUGUGUAGCGGUGGAAUGCGCAGAUAUCUGGAGGAACACCGAUGGCGAAGGCAGGUCACUGGGCCAUUACUGACGCUGAGGAGCGAAAGCAUGGGUAGCGAACAGG